rnacentral:rRNA from 1 species
UACGUAGGGUGCGAGCGUUGUCCGGAAUUAUUGGGCGUAAAGGGCUCGUAGGCGGUUCGUCGCGUCGGGAGUGAAAACACCGGGCUUAACUCGGUGCUUGCUUUCGAUACGGGCAGACUAGAGGUAUGCAGGGGAGAACGGAAUUCCUGGUGUAGCGGUGAAAUGCGCAGAUAUCAGGAGGAACACCGGUGGCGAAGGCGGUUCUCUGGGCAUGUCCUGACGCUGAGGAGCGAAAGUGUGGGGAGCGAACAGG